rnacentral:rRNA from 1 species
GCUUGCUCAAAGAUUAAGCCAUGCAUGUCUCAGUAUAAGCUUCUAUACGGUGAAACUGCGAAUGGCUCAUUAAAACAGUUACAGUUCAUUUGAUGGUUACUCCUUACAUGGAUAACUGUGGUAAUUCUAGAGCUAAUACAUGCGCCCAAACCUGACUCCGUGGAAGGGGUGUACUUAUUAGAUGGAAACCAAUGCGGGGCAACCCGGAUUCUGGUGAUUCAUAAUAAUUAUCGGAUCGAUCGUAUGAUCGAUGCAUCAUUCAAGUUUCUGCCCUAUCAGCUUUGGAUGGUAGGGUAUUGGCCUACCAUGGCAUUAACGGGUAACGGAGAAUUAGGGUUCGAUUCCGGAGAGGGAGCCUGAGAAAUGGCUACCACAUCCAAGGAAGGCAGCAGG